rnacentral:tRNA from 1 species
AGGGACUUAGGUUAGUAACCAGACCAAAGGCCUUCAAAGCCCUAAGCGGGGGUGAGAGUCCCCCAGGCCCUA